rnacentral:rRNA from 1 species
GAUCCUGGCUCAGGAUAAACGCUGGCGGCGCACAUAAGACAUGCAAGUCGAACGGAAGCCGUUAUAAAAAGGAUUGAAGAUUUAUCUGAUUGAGAUUUUAUAACAAUGGCUUUAGUGGCGGACUGGUGAGUAACGCGUGAGCAACCUGCAUACUAGAGGGGAAUAACAGUGAGAAAUCAUUGCUAAUACCGCAUAUGCCAUGAACAUCACAUGAUGAAAAUGG